UGGGGAAUAUUGGACAAUGGGGGCAACCCUGAUCCAGCGAUGCCGCGUGUGUGAAGAAGGCCUGCGGGUUGUAAAGCACUUUCAGUGGGGAGGAGGGUUUAUUGGUUAAGAGCUGAUAAGUUGGACGUUACCCACAGAAGAAGCACCGGCUAACUCCGUGCCAGCAGCCGCGGUAAUACAGAGGGUGCGAGCGUUAAUCGGAAUUACUGGGCGUAAAGGGUGCGUAGGUGGUUUUGUAAGUUAGAUGUG
rnacentral:rRNA from 1 species